AUCCUGCAAGAUAAGACAACUCUUACUGAGAAGUUUCAUAUCAAACAGCAAGGGGAAGUAAGGGGGUCACCAUCUUUUUAAUUUUUUAUUCUUUUUCUUCUUCAAAACACACUUGUGAUACCAACAACUUGAGGAUAACUUUUUAACAAUCUCAUGUAACGUAACAUGAGGCAGGCAGCAUUACAGAAAUUGUUAAUUUCAAAAACUUACAAGAAUGUGUUUUAUGACAAGUUUCUGAAAAAAAGGUCUCAGGUCAUGUUGAGGGGAAGGAGAGUGUCUUUUGGUUUACCAAAUUUUAUAUCAGCUCAUGCAGGGCAUCAACUAAAGGCUUGGUGUCCUCAUUCUGGAGCUAAUCUACCACUGAUGUAAGAAAGUAAGCACUGCAGAUUAAUGUCACGUAUAGGAUCUUUGAUUCAGAAUCAAAGCUCAGGUCUCAUCACCCAAAAACGUAGUAAAACCACUCUGAUGCCCCUGUAUGGACUAUUAAAAUCUCUGUCCAGUCCUUAAGGAAAGUGGAGGGUUGUAAAGGUCAGCAUAGACAUGGGAGCCAAACAUCCCCCACUGUUCCAGCUGGACAGGGCAAGAGACCUGUCCAGACUUUCACCCAAUAAUAAUGGAUUAAAAUGAAAUUUCUGACUCCCUGAAACAGAAGGAAGUGUUCUGACAUGUACAGACAACAAAGCCAAAUCUGUAUGUCUCAAUUCAAUUCUGUUCUAUCUUGGAAUGGGGCAGCCCCCUCCACCCAAGCCCCAGACUCUGGUCUUACUCACAGCAGGCUUUUUGGAGAGCUUUUUGGAAAUUCAGAUCCAAGAAGCACAUUCUGAAAACUAGAACUGAAUAUCUUAAAAAUAAUACAUCAGGAAAGGGUAUACAUACAUUAAUAAUACAUCACUCGUCUUUCAGACAAGCCACACACAUAUACAAUACCUGCACUGCAUGAGAUUUUUAACUGAAAGAUCUUAAAAUACACAAAUUGGGAACAGAGGGUUAAGAUCAAUCAAUUCUCCUGACAGCAAACAGCAUACUGUUUUACCCAAGAAUCUUCCAGGUAGGAAAAUAAAGAUGUCAUGAGUGGACAGAAACCUCCAAAAUUAUUAAUUUCUUUUUUAACCCCAUAAUACAGUAUUAGAUGAUAUGCUUCUUUGAAGACAAAUCUGAAAAUACGAGUGUGCAAGUGUCUACAUAUAUGUAUCUACAAGGCAGUUGCUCAUUACUGCCAUCACACUGGACUGAUGUACAUGUAUGUAUCAUCUCGUGUUUAGGGUUUUUGUUUGUUUUUUUGUUUGCUUGUUUUUGUUGGGGUUUGUUUUUGUUUUUUGAGAAGGAAAAGCUUUGCAUUUGCUUCUGUGGUGUGUUUUAUUUAAAUUUUGUAGUGGUUUUCUGUUUUCUUUUGCAGCUGUAUUUCUUACCAUCUUGGCACUGAAGUGGCCAUGAGCAAGCUCUCCUACAAAAAUUUUGCAGGACUAGCUGGAACUGAUAACCGCAGUGGAAACCCAUUGUUGCUGAAACUGAUAACCCAGUGGAAGGAGACUCACCACCCCCAAUUGUGAAACCCAUUGUUGCUGGAACUGAUAACCACGGUGGAAGGAGACCCAUCACCCUCACUUAUGCAAGAUAAAAAGGGACUGAAGAGAAGAAAGGUUGUCAGCUUUUGGCGGAGCCAGGCUCCCAGCUGAACCCAGCGCUGUUUUGCUUGCUAUCGCUUGCUGUAAUUAAUAAAAUUAUUAAUUGAUCUUAAAAGGCUGAA